GAUAAUUAAAAACACAGAUAGAAGGUUUUUCCGGGUAGAAACUUAGGGUUCAAGGGCCUCUCGAAUAAGAAAUUAAAUUAAUGAAAAAUUGAGAUAGAAUAUUUCUUUACGUAAAUGUUUUUUGAUAAAAUGUAUAAAAUAAUAAUUGUAAUGAAAAGAACGACCAUAGUCUGUGCAUCGAAUCUGAGGCCAUACCAGAAGUCAGCACCAGAGACCGGUGCGCUACUGACUCGGUUGCUCGGCGUUCUAACAUGUUCGCACACUUUUUUGUUAUAUAACAGUUGUGAGGGCUUUGAAUCCAUUUUUUUUUUCGGAGUUGGCU
rnacentral:lncRNA from 1 species